rfam:Ralstonia solanacearum GMI1000 chromosome complete sequence
GGUCAAGCGAAUAAGUGCAUGUGGUGGAUGCCUUGGCGAUCACAGGCGAUGAAGGACGUAGUAGCUUGCGAAAAGCUGCGGGGAGCUGGCAAACGAGCUUUGAUCCGCAGAUGUCCGAAUGGGGAAACCCGGCCCGUAUGGGUCAUCCCUUGCUGAAUACAUAGGCAAGGGAGGCGAACGCAGUGAACUGAAACAUCUAAGUAGCUGCAGGAAAAGAAAUCAACCGAGAUUCCCAAAGUAGUGGCGAGCGAAAUGGGAACAGCCUUGUACUCUUUAGCAGUAUUGUUAGCGGAACGGAAUGGAAAGUCCGGCCAUAGUGGGUGAUAGCCCCGUACGCGAAAACAGUAUUGUGGAACUAGGUGUACGACAAGUAGGGCGGGACACGUGAAAUCCUGUCUGAAGAUGGGGGGACCAUCCUCCAAGGCUAAAUACUCGUGAUCGACCGAUAGUGAACCAGUACCGUGAGGGAAAGGCGAAAAGAACCCCGGGAGGGGAGUGAAAUAGAUCCUGAAACCGCAUGCAUACAAACAGUCGGAGCCUGGAAACGGGUGACGGCGUACCUUUUGUAUAAUGGGUCAGCGACUUACAUUCAGUGGCAAGCUUAACCGAUUAGGGAAGGCGUAGCGAAAGCGAGUCCGAAUAGGGCGUUCAGUCGCUGGGUGUAGACCCGAAACCAAGUGAUCUAUCCAUGGCCAGGUUGAAGGUGCGGUAACACGUACUGGAGGACCGAACCCACUAACGUUGAAAAGUUAGGGGAUGAGCUGUGGAUAGGGGUGAAAGGCUAAACAAACUUGGAAAUAGCUGGUUCUCUCCGAAAACUAUUUAGGUAGUGCCUCGUGUCUCACCUUCGGGGGUAGAGCACUGUCAUGGUUGGGGGGUCUAUUGCUGAUUACCCCGCCAUAGCAAACUCCGAAUACCGAAGAGUGCAAUCACGGGAGACAGACAUCGGGUGCUAACGUCCGGUGUCAAGAGGGAAACAACCCAGACCGCCAGCUAAGGUCCCUAAGAUUGGCUAAGUGGGAAACGAAGUGGGAAGGCUAAAACAGUCAGGAGGUUGGCUUAGAAGCAGCCACCCUUUAAAGAAAGCGUAAUAGCUCACUGAUCGAGUCGUCCUGCGCGGAAGAUGUAACGGGGCUAAGCCAGUCACCGAAGCUGCGGAUGCACGUAAGUGCAUGGUAGGAGAGCGUUCUGUAAGCCUGUGAAGGUGUCUUGUAAAGGAUGCUGGAGGUAUCAGAAGUGCGAAUGCUGACAUGAGUAGCGAUAAAGGGGGUGAAAGGCCCCCUCGCCGUAAGCCCAAGGUUUCCUACGCAACGUUCAUCGGCGUAGGGUGAGUCGGCCCCUAAGGCGAGGCAGAGAUGCGUAGCUGAUGGGAAGCAGGUUAAUAUUCCUGCACCGUCGUAUGAUGCGAUGGGGGGACGGAUCGCGGAAGGUUGUCCGGGUGUUGGAAGUCCCGGUCCCUACAUUGGAGAUGGCACUUAGGCAAAUCCGGGUGCGUGAUUCAAGGGUGUGGGGCGAGCGACGUUAGGUCGCGAAGCAAUUGGAAGUGGUUCCAAGAAAAGCCUCUAAGCUUCAGUCAUACGAGACCGUACCGCAAACCGACACAGGUGGGCGAGAUGAGUAUUCUAAGGCGCUUGAGAGAACUCGGGAGAAGGAACUCGGCAAAUUGGUACCGUAACUUCGGGAUAAGGUACGCCCUUGUAGUUUGACUGGCUCGCGCCAGAAGGAUGAAGGGGUUGCAAUAAAAUGGUGGCUGCGACUGUUUAAUAAAAACACAGCACUCUGCAAACACGAAAGUGGACGUAUAGGGUGUGACGCCUGCCCGGUGCCGGAAGAUUAAAUGAUGGGGUGCAAGCUCUUGAUUGAAGUCCCGGUAAACGGCGGCCGUAACUAUAACGGUCCUAAGGUAGCGAAAUUCCUUGUCGGGUAAGUUCCGACCUGCACGAAUGGCGUAACGAUGGCCACACUGUCUCCUCCCGAGACUCAGCGAAGUUGAAGUGUUUGUGAUGAUGCAAUCUCCCCGCGGCUAGACGGAAAGACCCCAUGAACCUUUACUGUAGCUUUGCAUUGGACUUUGAACCGAUCUGUGUAGGAUAGGUGGGAGGCUUUGAAACCGGGACGCUAGUUUCGGUGGAGCCGACCUUGAAAUACCACCCUGGUUUGUUUGAGGUUCUAACCUUGGCCCGUGAAUCCGGGUCGGGGACAGUGCAUGGUAGGCAGUUUGACUGGGGCGGUCUCCUCCCAAAGUGUAACGGAGGAGUUCGAAGGUACGCUUGGUACGGUCGGACAUCGUACCUAAAGUGCAAUGGCAAAAGCGUGCUUAACUGCGAGACCGACAAGUCGAGCAGGUGCGAAAACAGGACAUAGUGAUCCGGUGGUUCUGUAUGGAAGGGCCAUCGCUCAACGGAUAAAAGGUACUCUGGGGAUAACAGGCUGAUACCGCCCAAGAGUUCAUAUCGACGGCGGUGUUUGGCACCUCGAUGUCGGCUCAUCUCAUCCUGGGGCUGUAGCCGGUCCCAAGGGUAUGGCUGUUCGCCAUUUAAAGAGGUACGUGAGCUGGGUUUAAAACGUCGUGAGACAGUUUGGUCCCUAUCUGCCGUGGGCGUUGGAAUCUUGACGGGGGCUGCUCCUAGUACGAGAGGACCGGAGUGGACGUACCGCUGGUGUACCUGUUGUCUCGCCAGAGGCAUCGCAGGGUAGCUAUGUACGGAAGAGAUAACCGCUGAAAGCAUCUAAGCGGGAAACUCGCCUGAAGAUGAGGAUUCCCUGGAGACUUGAUCUCCCUGAAGGGUCGUUCGAGACCAGGACGUUGAUAGGCUGGGUGUGGAAGCGCAGUAAUGCGUUCAGCUAACCAGUACUAAUUGCCCGUGCGGCUUGAUCCU